rnacentral:rRNA from 1 species
AAAUAAUACGUGCUGGUUAUUUUAUUUAGCUGUAAGGAAAAUGUACUAAAUUAUAAUCUUUGGUCAUAGACUGUAAUAAAUAUAGUUUACAUCUUAGUAUUACAAGCCUGUUGUUAAAGUAAAUCUUUUUUGUUUGGUAGUUUAUAGUUUUAUUUAUAAAUAAAUGUUUUAUUAGUACGUUUAUAGGGGUAGUUAAACAAGUGCCAGCAUCUGCGGUUAGACUUUAGCCUUUUAGGUCUUUUUUACGAGUAAAUUUAAUAUUAUUUAGGUGAAAUUAUGUAUUGGUUAGGUGUUCGAAAAGUUAGCUUAUAAAAAAGUAGGAUUAGAUACCCUAUUAUUAUGUUAUGAAGUGGGUAUUAAAGUUAAAUCUAAAAGAUUUGGCGGCUAGUUAGUAUUAGAGGAGUUUGUUAGUUAAAGGAAGUUACUCAUUUAAUUUUACUUGUUUAAUUUUGUAUACCGUUGUUUAGGUUAUUUUUAAUAAAAAAAUAAAUAGUCAUAUAGUAGAUCUUGGUGCAGAUUUUUAUAAGGUCUAAUUAACUACAAUAUGUAAUGUAUGGAUAAUUUAUAAUAAAAUUGGAAAUUGAAUUUAAUUGAGCUUAAGUAGUUAGGAAAAUUUUUAACUAGUGUACAAAUUGCCCGUCAUUCUCUUUGAGACAAGUCGAAACAAAGUAGAUAUACCUGAAGGUGUAUCUAAU